rnacentral:rRNA from 1 species
CGGCCGUAACUAUAACGGUCCUAAGGUAGCGAAAUUCCUUGUCGGGUAAGUUCCGACCUGCACGAAUGGCGUAACGACAGCGGCGCUGUCUCCACCCGAGACUCAGUGAAAUUGAAAUCGCUGUGAAGAUGCAGCGUUCCCGUGGCAAGACGGAAAGACCCCGUGAACCUUUACUAUAGCUUUACACUGAACGUUGAGUUCGUCUGUGUAGGAUAGGUGGGAGGCUAUGAAACUGUGGCGCUAGCUGCAGCGGAGCCAUCCUUGAAAUACCACCCUGUCGUGCUUGACGUUCUAACCUGGGCCCAUUAUCUGGGUCGGGGACCGUGUAUGGUGGGUAGUUUGACUGGGGCGGUCUCCUCCUAAAGAGUAACGGAGGAGCUCGAAGGUACGCUCAGCGCGGUCGGACAUCGCGCACUGUGUGCAAAGGCAUAAGCGUGCUUGACUGCAAGAUCGACGGAUCAAGCAGGUAGGAAACUAGGACUUAGUGAUCCGGUGGUUCUGUAUGGAAGGGCCAUCGCUCAACGGAUAAAAGGUACUCCGGGGAUAACAGGCUGAUACCGCCCAAGAGUUCAUAUCGACGGCGGUGUUUGGCACCUCGAUGUCGGCUCAUCACAUCCUGGGGCUGUAGUCGGUCCCAAGGGUAUGGCUGUUCGCCAUUUAAAGUGGUACGCGAGCUGGGUUCAGAACGUCGUGAGACAGUUCGGUCCCUAUCUGCCGUGGGCGUUGGAUGAUUGAAGGGAGUUGCUCCUAGUACGAGAGGACCGGAGUGAACGAACCUCUGGUGUUCGGGUUGUCACGCCAGUGGCACUGCCCGGUAGCUAAGUUCGGAAUCGAUAACCGCUGAAAGCAUCUAAGCGGGAAGCGAGCCCUGAGAUGAGUCAUCCCUGACCCCUUGAGGGUCCUAAAGGGCCGUUGGAGACCACAACGUUGAUAGGUGGGGUGUGUAAGCGCGGUGACGUGUUGAGCUAACCCAUACUAAU